CCUUCGUGUCUACCGAGGCGACGACAAGGGACUAUUGGAACAGGAUGAUCCCGAUCCUGACCAAUCCGCUGCGGAUAUGUCUUGCGACGAGACUGACCUUUCGCUGAGUCAAUCAACUUCUAAGUUGGUUAAGGAGGGGGAAGAGUCAGUUGACGAGGACGAUCUCCUUGCCUCUGACAAGGAGGACGCCAACGUCACAGUGUUGCGUAUAGACAAAAAGGGAGAUGGUGAGAGUAACCCUAAUUAAUCUCCACCACUCCAAAGCAGCCUCGGCUGCACUGUUCCUCCGAAUGGGUGUAAGUGGGGAGGAGCUCGCCCUAGUCCAGGAACCCUGGAUUCACCAAGAAAGGGUGAGUGGACUAGGCAUGAAAAGCUUUAAGCUAUUGUACGCAAAAGGAUCUGUGAUGAAGACACCGUAGCAGCCAUAUGGGAGACCAGUGUAGGUGCUAUAUUGGUUAUCUCGGCGUACAUGGCUCACGACCACAGCGACCAGCCACCGAACAACCUGGUCUGCAGAUCCAUAGAGAUGGCAAACUCAAAAAGCAUGCCGAUCAUCAUGGGGGCUGAUGCCAAUGCCCAUCACACUGUCUGGGGAAGCUCGGACAUAAACGCUAGAGGAUCCGAACCGACCUUUAUUGUUUCAAACAGAAGGGAAGUUCUUGACAUUACGCUGGUUAGUUCUAUGCAUCAUGAUAGGAUAAGGGGAUGGAGAGUCUCAAGUGACUGCUCUUUCUCUGACCAUCAGUACAUCGAUUUUGAAAUCGUAGUUGACAAAGUGGCCCCAAAGCCCUUUAUAAACAGGAGACGAACAGAUUGGGAAAUGCAAAUGGGGCUAAUCUCACGUUCAC